rnacentral:rRNA from 1 species
UAGGGUUUGAUCAUGGCUCAGGAUGAACGCUAGCGGCAGGCCUAAUACAUGCAAGUCGAACGGUGUCUUCGGACAUAGUGGCGCACGGGUGCGUAACACGUAUGCAACCUACCUUACAUUGGGGGAUAGCCUUUCGAAAGGGAGAUUAAUACCGCAUAAGACAGUAGUCUGGCAUCAGACAGCUGUUAAAGAUUUAUCGAUGUAAGCUGGGCAUGCGUCCAAUUAGUUAGUUGGCGAGGUAACGGCUCACCAAGACUAUGAUUGGUAGGGGAACUGAGAGGUCAAUCCCCCACACUGGCACUGAGAUACGGGCCAGACUCCUACGGGAGGCAGCAGUAGGGAAUAUUGGGCAAUGGACGCAAGUCUGACCCAGCCAUGCCGCGUGCAGGAAGAAGGCGUUAUGCGUUGUAAACUGCUUUUAUACAGGAAGAAACGACUCUUGCGAGAGGCAUUGACGGUACUGUAUGAAUAAGCACCGGCUAACUCCGUGCCAGCAGCCGCGGUAAUAC